GCCGGGCAUAUCCGUCGCCACCUCCUGUCGUCGAUUCAGCUCCGUCGCCUGUACUCGCUCUCCUCCACCAUCUCCACUCCACCGCGAUGCUCCCUCGCACCCGCAGUCACCCCCGUGGCCAACCCUAGCCCGCCACGAUUCGGCUCGCCGCCGGCGUUAUUCCGCGCCGCUGCGCCUCCGGAUGGCUCCUCCUCGGCGACCUCGACUUCCACCUCGAGCCGCAGCUCGACCUUACUGUGUCGGCCUCCUCGAUUCUAUGGUGGUCUGAUGGUGUGGUGUGGUGUGGUGUUGCUGCUGCUUGCUGACCGUGGCCUCUCGCACCAUGGUGCGGUCGGCUGACCCCUGCUUCGCCGACCUCGCAGCCUCCCUCGACUAUGGCUUCGCCUACGCCUCCGGUCAGGUAGUCCCUCGGUGAGCUCAUUCUUCCCCUCUCUAUUCCUCUCAUGUGUUCUAUGAUAAAUUGGUACAGGUGAUGUGAUGCUCGUUGUGAUGUUGCUCGUGUCUGUGUGGCUUGUGGUGUGGUGCUGCUGUGAUGUCAACCACAUCUUUGACGCCGAUGGAACGGUGCCGCGGAUGCAACCUCGGCAAUGAUUUCGUCUGCUCCUCUACAACACUGAUGGUUAUAUCCAAUCUCUUGAAAUGUUUAAAUUGUGGGAGUGGUCCUAACUACCUAUCUACUCCACUACCUGCCUCACUGAUAUUCUCAUUGUGGUACUCACUAUGACCUUUUCCUCCUCUCUAACCUCAAUCCAGGGCCAAAGUUUGUUUGUGUGACAUUAAGAUCUAUUUAAUAUGCUUAAUUACUAGCUGCUGCUGUUGAUCACCAGAUUACGUGCAUACAUGAUUUAGUCCUAUAGUGGUGUUGGGUAUGAGCUCCUCAUAUUAUAAGGGAUCACUAGCUAAAGAUGGUGAUUCGGCUCCCCUCUCUACUUGCAUCUUUCUAUCUAUCAACUCAUAAGAAUAUAUUUUCUGCUUGAUUAUUCUUGGCUUAGCCUACGAUGCAUAUGCUGAGGCAUAGAUUUGGAGUAAGAAUAGAUACUAGUUUUAAGUGAUUGCCUAACAACCUGCUGGUGUGGUGUAGCUUGGUCUUCUGGAUUCUGAAUAACUUGCAUCUUGUGGAUGGCCUGCUCCUCCUCGCUUCUUGAGCUGCUUCCUAUGGAUCUAGUUGCUAUUUGGCUAUUUCUAGUAUUAUCCUGAUGGAUAUAUAUGUGUGUUUGCUGGUAGAGCAAACACAUGGGUGUCAAAUGAGUUACUAGUAUUGUUCUUGCGGUUCUUGAUCUUCUGGUGGAUUUUACUAGUGCGAAUGAUUGAUAGAUAGACUACAGAUAAUUUAUUGGUGUGAUCAAGAUGUGGUGCGGCUGGGAUAAGCUUGUGUGUGCUAGAAGAGCUGGUAGGACAGCUGCUGGGCUGUUUAUAUACGGCUGAACUAUAGUUGUGGUUGUGACAACACACAACUGCAUGUGUUGUGUGUGCUACUUACAUAUGGACCCCACUUCUGGUGUAUGUGACCAAAUUGGUUUGCUUUGCCUUCUAGUGUAAGGCAUACGGCUGGUUUGCUCUUAUCCAUUGUAGAUAUUUAUUUUGAUGCAGCCAAGUGGUACUUGAUUAAGGGUGGCUUUACUUUGUUUGCCCUUUGCAUGAAAAGUAAGAUCAAUAAAAGAUUGAGAAGAUUUAGAUUUAGGAAUUCUUUUGUUUCCUUGUAAUCUUAUAUUACUUUUGUAACUUGUAACUUUGUUUCUCCUUAUGAGAAUUGUAACUGAUUGGGAUAAUGAUAUUUGUAAUAAGGUUUAAAUUACUUAUCUAUUUUGUAUUCC